GUGACCUACGGGGCGCAGCAGUGGGGAAUAUUGCACAAUGGGGGAAACCCUGAUGCAGCGACGCCGCGUGAGUGAAGAAGUAUUUCGGUAUGUAAAGCUCUAUCAGCAGGGAAGAAAAUGACGGUACCUGACUAAGAAGCCCCGGCUAACUACUUGCCAGCAGCCGCGGUAAUACGUAGGGGGCAAGCGUUAUCCGGAUUUACUGGGUGUAAAGGGAGCGCAGACGGCUG
rnacentral:rRNA from 1 species